rnacentral:piRNA from 1 species
UGGGAAGGAAGGAAGGAAGUGCUG